GUAACGGUGUCUUUAGACACCACCUUUGUCUUUGAAAAAACAAUUAU
rfam:Picea glauca, whole genome shotgun sequence.